UCCGCAAUGGGCGGAGCACAACCGCGUGAGGGAGGAAGGCCCUUGGGUUGUAAACCUCUUUUCUGGGGGACGAAAGCUGACGGUACCCCAGGAAUAAGCCUCGGCUAACUCCGUGCCAGCAGCCGCGGUAAGACGGAGGAGGCAAGCGUUAUCCGGAAUUAUUGGGCGUAAAGGGUACGUAGGCGGCUGGUCAAGUCUGGGGUCAAAGGCCACAGCUCAACUGUGGGAAGGCCCUGGAAACUGACCGGCUAGAGUGAGGUAGGGGUUGCGGGAAUUCCCGGUGUAGCGGUGAAAUGCGUAGAGAUCGGGAAGAACACCUGAGGCGGAAGCGCGCAACUGGGCCUCAACUGACGCUGAGGUACGAAAGCUAGGGGAGCGAA
rnacentral:rRNA from 1 species